rnacentral:rRNA from 1 species
UACGUAGGGACCAAGCGUUGUUCGGAUUUACUGGGCGUAAAGGGCGCGUAGGCGGCGCGGUAAGUCACUUGUGAAGUCUCUGAGCUUAACUCAGAACGGCCAAGUGAUACUGCAGUGCUAGAGUGUGGAAGGGGCAAUCGGAAUUCUUGGUGUAGCGGUGAAAUGCGUAGAUAUCCGGAAGAACACGGGUGGCGAAGGCGGUCUGCUGGGCAGUAGCUGACACUGAGGCGCGACAGCGUGGGGAGCAAACAGG